CUUCUUUGAAGGUAAACUCUACCAAUAUCCUAAAAAUUAAAUAAAUAUCUCUGCUGUUCUUUUCAAGUCCCUUGUCUCAGAGUUCACAGGAGGCUGAUAAAAUAUCGAAUUUAUUCUUAUUCUGGUUAUUUUUCUAAAUUUUUCAGGACUGAAAAGCUUCGACCCAUAAAUAUGAUGAUUCAUAUUCAGGAUUCAUAAAUGGUGCUCUGCCAAUCAAAGAAACACAGGUGUUACUGCUUGCUACUGCUUCAGAGUCAGUAAACUCAGGAAGACAUCUGUAGUUCUCCUUGCCUUAAUGUGAGGAACAAGGGAAAGAUAUAUACACAUACAUAUGAAGUACAAUAGAUUCAUACAGGUGGCAAUUUAAUACUAAUAGAACAAAUAUAUAUAUAUAGUUAAACUAACUGAAAGAAUUAUGGAAAUCAUUCAGAACUGCAAGCGUUACAGAAAAUAUGCCACUAUAGAAGACACACAAGAUUUUUUAAAAUAACUGGAUAAGGUGAUAAGUGCGAAAAGGAUACCUGCUUACUGUUAGAAAAACAACAGGCUUAUUUUUAGAAGACCUGAAAUGAAGGAUUAAGUCUAGUACAAGAUUUUAUAUCUUAUAGAAGAAAAAGGAGGAAGCAGGCAGUGUUUUUUGGGGGAAGGGAUGCUGUUGUAGAGGCACGCCAAGAAAGAAGGAAACUGUCUUUCCUUAACAGUUGUAGGCAGAAUUUGUACCAGAGCCAUGAUACUAAGGCUGAAUCACUAGAGGAUGUGUUUAAAACAGCUUGGUCUAUUCAAGUUUAGAAGAGCUGAUGAACUGUAGUUUCAGUAAGGAGGAAAAAAAAAAGGCUAAAAAAAAAGAAGAAAAGCAAAACUAUAGCAAGGCUGGGGCAAGAGGGCCAUAUGUUGACUUUCUGAGUAGCCGUUUAUGUGAUAGUAAAGGUACAUGCCGGAUCAAGAAGGGAGGUUUUAAGUGGGAGGUACGUCCACUGGCAGGAACUCACAACUUCUGAACUCACAAACUACAAAGAAACCUGAGGUGACAGAACCAGCAAAGACUGCACCUUGAAGUCAUAUCAUGUGGUGCAUCAAAACAUGCUUCAACCCACAAUCAGAGUACAUUACUGUGUUACCCUUAUCCCAAAGCAACUACCUAACAUUCCAGUUGUGACUCUUGUUCCUGGUCUUGCUGAUUCAUUUGCAAAAUCAUAGUCACAAAAUGAUUAAUUGUUGCUAAUUUUUAAUUCUAAUAAUUGCUACUUAUUUUUGUGCUUAAAAAAAAAAAAAAAGCAAAGCUCUUUUUCCUAAGCAGAUAUUUUU
rnacentral:lncRNA from 1 species